GCAACAUGUCCGAAUAACAGAACCUACAGUGUGGUUUAUCCUGCUCUUCAGAGAUGGAAUGGAAAAGGAGUUUACUGCAGGGGAUUAAUUUCAGGAAAUGAGAGAAGUAAUCAAGUCAACUUCAGUGUUAUAGUUUCAGUAACAUUGGUUACACUGAGCCCAAACCAGAUUACCGUGGAUGCUGGUAAACAGAUAACUCUAACCUGUCAGACAGAUUACUGUAACCCAGCAGCCAACAUCACGUGGUACAAGGCAUCAAUCAAUCUGGCCACGCCUACCACAGAUACAACAGACAUCGACAGCAAUGGCCU